GGAGACUUAGCUCAGCGGUAGAGCGCUUGCCUAGGAAGCGCAAGGCCCUGGGUUCGGUCCCCAGCUCCG
rfam:Rattus norvegicus chromosome 1, whole genome shotgun sequence.